UGCUUUAAUUAUUUACAUACUUUAAACAAUAUAUAUAAAUCCAUAAUAUGUCAAAACUUCUAUAGUAUAUCGCAUUUCUUUAGAAAAAAGCGAGUAAUGGCAGUUCAUUAUCGAUCUGAGGCAGCAUAUUUUACAGAGGGCUAUGUUCAACGGUGAAUACCUCGAAAACGGUUGGGCCAAGGGGUCCGGCUGGAUAGAAUUAAAGUUUAUACUUUUGUUUAACUAUACUGUAAUCAUGAAAAAAAAUCGAACCGUGGAAAUUUGAGAUUUUUGUCUUCAAAGAUUGUUGACAUAAACACCUUUAAAUUACAUCGCGACAGCAUAGCGCCUAAGUGAGGGGUCAAAAUAAACUGAAAAAUGACGCUUACCUUUCAAGAUACCGUUCCAGUGGGUAGAUUGACAAUUGUAAAAGUAGUAUCGCGUGAAAUUCCCCCCAAAAUGUGCAUAACAAUAUAAAAAUAAUCGAUAUUUAUGAGACCUAUGUAAAUUUUCGAUGCCAAAAGCUUCGUGCGAGCAUGAGGGAAAUGGCGCAAUCUGAUUGGUCGAGAUGUUCGCCUAAUUGGCUGUCGAACCUCCUCUGAGAGUUAAUAAACGAAAAAUGUUUCGCACUUAAUGCCUCAACCGUCUGUUCAGUCGAGUUAAAUCCUUCACUCUAUACACUCUGCCAUAUUUUCUUCCUUACGCGCACACCCACACGAAAAUCACGUUCACAACGUUCUCUGGCUAGUUGAGUAUCCUG